rnacentral:rRNA from 1 species
AGCGAACGCUGGCGGCAGGCCUAACACAUGCAAGUCGAACGGUUCCUUCGGGAUUAGUGGCGGACGGGUGAGUAACACGUGGGAACGUGCCCUUUGGUUCGGAACAACUCAGGGAAACUUGAGCUAAUACCGGAUGUGCCCUUCGGGGGAAAGAUUUAUCGCCAUUGGAGCGGCCCGCGUCUGAUUAGCUAGUUGGUGAGGUAAAGGCUCACCAAGGCGACGAUCAGUAGCUGGUCUGAGAGGAUGAUCAGCCACAUUGGGACUGAGACACGGCCCAAACUCCUACGGGAGGCAGCAGUGGGGAAUCUUGCGCAAUGGGCGAAAGCCUGACGCAGCCAUGCCGCGUGAAUGAUGAAGGUCUUAGGAUUGUAAAAUUCUUUCACCGGGGACGAUAAUGACGGUACCCGGAGAAGAAGCCCCGGCUAACUUCGUGCCAGCCGCCGCCGUAGAAC